rnacentral:rRNA from 1 species
GACAGAGGUGCCGAGCGUUAGGCGGAAUCACUGGGCUUAAAGCGUGUGUAGGCGGGCGAUCAAGUACCUUGUGAAAUCCCACGGCUCAACCGUGGAACCGCUGGGUAUACUGGUUGUCUUGAGCCGGCUAGGGGCGAGCGGAACAGACGGUGGAGCGGUGAAAUGCGCAGAUAUCGGGAAGAACACCCGUGGCGAAGGCGGCUCUCUGGGACGGUACUGACGCUGAGACGCGAAAGCGUGGGGAGCGAACAGG